rnacentral:rRNA from 1 species
UACGGAGGGUGCAAGCGUUAUCCGGAUUUACUGGGUUUAAAGGGUGUGUAGGCGGACUAUUAAGUCAGUGGUGAAAUCCCGAGGCUCAACCUCGGAACUGCCUUUGAUACUAUUAGUCUUGAAUGUUGUUGAGGUGGGCGGAACGGGUCAUGUAGCGGUGAAAUGCAUAGAUAUGACCCGGAACACCGAUUGCGAAGGCAGCCCGCUAAGCAACUAUUGACGCUGAGGCACGAAAGCAUGGGGAUCAAACAGG